GGAGAGAGGAUCAUUGACGAAGCAGCUGAAGCUGGUUCUUUCUCGGCCACAACCCCAAGGAACUGUCACAGGGGUGUCCUAGAGGUGUUGCUGCAGCUUCACCAAUCUGGCUAUGAAGAGCAAUCCAUCAAGUAGCAGUUACUUCUUUACUGAUGAUCGGGAGAUUUUGGGUCAGGAGGAGUCUAAUCUGUCUUUUUAAAAUGGCACAGAAACUUACAAGGUGACUUCAAGAAGAUACAUUAUGUUGAUUCACUGCUGCUAGAAAAGCAGAUAGACUUAUUUAAGCAUCAAUCACGAUAGGGGACAUUGAGAAUUUGAUUACUCAAUUGGACAAUACAAUGAAUUCUUCUCAUGGUGUCAGAGUUACAAGUUUCUGUAAGAACACGAGACUGGAUGGAUGCCACAA